AGAUCGAACUCGGGACCUUGUGCUUGCAAGGCAGGAAAUGGCAUUACUCAGCUAAAUCUCCGCCCCAAUGAUGCUUUUCUUAAAAUGAGAACAAAUCCAAAUCUCAAGGUCUUAUCUUGUACUGAGACCAGUUUUUACAUUUCAAUGACCUAAGGACCUGGAAUGUUAAUGAUCUUACUGAACUGCUCCUGAAGAAUCCCCAUCAAUGGACCUGACUUCAGUUGGAUUGAUAGAUUACUUCUCACCACUCAGAAAGCUGAUACAAGGGCAAGAGCAGUAGAGUGGGAAGAAGGAACACGGGGAGCAGAAGAGUUCCCUCUCUGGAGCAUUCAUUUUAUUUGGCUCGUACAAAUGUCAAGGGACAUUGAGGUAAGACAUUGGUGGCUCAAACUGAUUUCUGCUUUCCUCGGCCAUAAACCAUUGUACACCCUAUGUGAGCAUCAAGCAGAAUGUGUGGAAUUUUAUUCUGCCCUAGAUGUUAUUGUCUUCAGGAUCACAAAGAAGCGCAGUCCUGGAGUCAUACAAUAUUUUUUUCCUAC
rnacentral:lncRNA from 1 species